AGUGAUGGGGCGGGCAGAGGCUCUGGGGGCUGCAGUUCAGUCGCCACGGAAGCUUUCCUCCUCCCUCCGGAACCAGCCCGACAGACGAAGUGCCCGCAUCUGCCUCCGCCCUCCUCUCCCCCCCAGCUCCAGGCGAGGGGGGCGGGCUGCCAGUGGGGGGCCGAGAAAGCCAGGUAGGAGGAUGUACUCCGUGGAGAGCUCCUUCCAUCAGGUGGACGAGCCCUCCGGCCGGAGCAGUGCCCCGCUGGAGCAGAGCGGAGUCUGAAGGAAAUGGCCUUUCUGCCAAAGAAGGCUUUUCCGUGCCCUGCCAACUGCUGCCAUUUCUCCAGAGGGGAUCGCGCCGAACGUUAAAUCCUGCCACGGAACCAGCAGACCCUCUUGCGAGGCGCACAUGGAGGUGGAAUAUCACGUCUGUAGACUUUCUGUGGUCCUGCCUCUUGGCUUUGGGUCAAGGUACUGCCCAGUCUUGGUGACUGUUUUGUUGCUGUUGACAACGGCUCUUAGUUAAAAGUUCCGGGCCAGGUGCCCUAAAUUUGAGUGGAUUGGAAUCUGAUUCACUCGCACUCAGCACCAAUUACAUGGGCCAAUACAGUGACUUCAGUAUUACUGGCUUCUCUCCCUCUUGGGGCUUACCGAAGUUUUACUUUCCUUUGGUCUGUAUCUUUCUCAGCUAAUGUGGGAAGAACACCGUUCAUUUAUGUCUACUGCAGUGGAUAAGUACUAUAGGUCUCUUCAUGCAAAAGGCUGGAAAAAGCCCCAUAAGAGGACUCUGUCUGGAACAACACUUCGUAGCCUCUAGGCCACUGUUGCCUCAUUUGUGAAACAAAGAGGAUGAAUGACAAGCUCUUUAAGGCUCUUCCAGCUCUAAAUCAAAAGAUUAUAGGAGGCAAGAUUCUAUGAGAUUAUAAAGUAAAAGAUGAUUUCUGUUCAA